rnacentral:rRNA from 1 species
AUGUUCUCCAGCUCCACACGCAACCACUCCUCCGCGUCGCCGCCGCCUCUGCCUCACCCCGACUCCUUCCGCAGCAAUGGCCUACCUCAUCUCCCCUCCGCCGAUGUGCGGCGACCCCGGGAGGAGCUCAAGCCGCAGCGAUGGUCCACCGCGCCGGCGCCGUCGUCGGUGUUUGAUGAAAGUUCAGCAACAUCCGAGCAUGCUCACCUCCAGUUCGCCAACAACCAGAAUUUAAAGAAAACAAGAACAUCGAACCGGCAGUGGAGGAGCAGCAGCGGCCAACGGCAGAUCGGCGUGUCAUGGGAGCAGACACGGCGGCCGUCACGGGCAGAGCAGAGCGAAGUUGGCAUGGCGGCUAGGCGGUUGUCCGGACUGGAUCCCGCCAUCACCACCAGCCACCGCCUCGUGACACUCCACCGCCACCGCUCUGCUGCUUCCGCCCUACGCUUCGCUCCCUCCCGUGCCAUCCUCACCUCCGACAAAAAGGACCUCUUGGACGUCAUUGCACAUGCUGGCCUCUUCCGACCCCGUGGCCACCGUGAUCAGGUAAUUGAUUUUGUGUUCCUGGGUUCGGGUAAGAAGCUAGUGACCUGCUCCAAGGACAAGGUUAUCUGGGUUUGGGACCUCGACACACAACACUGCCUUCAAAUUGUAAGGGUAGUCAAGCGCCACAGGAUAUCAUCCUUUGUUGUGGAUGAGAAUGGGAUGAUCAAUCGGAUUGCCGGGGUUGAUGAUUUGUCAAAGGAAUUUUAUUGCAAAUUCCUAGAGCAGCUUCCCUUGCGCCGUCAUCCAUCCACCAACAAGCCCAUGACCAUGCAUCAGAAAUAUUUGAUUUUUGGAGGAGAAAGGUCAUACAAGGAUGAGAAUGGGACACCAUAUUAUAGCGACGUGAGAAUGAAAAGCAUCUUUCACGCUGCCAACGGGAUCUGGACCAAUAAGAGGAUCAGGAGGACGAAUACAGUGGACACUACUACUCAGCAAGAUACAGUUCAAACCCUAAUUAUAGACACCUCAUUCUAUAAGGAGGCCGCCACCAAGAAGAGCGAGGUUGUGUCAAUGGACUCAGGUGCGUGCACUCGUUGGUGGUUUCAGUCUCAUAAUUUUUUCUUUCCAGUUGAAGAACGGGCGGUGGAUAUCUGUUACUCCAUUCUGUCUUUCCUGACUGUUCUAGAUAAGAUGAUGGCUAUCAAUGUGAGCGACUGA